AAAUUGAAGAGUUUGAUCAUGGCUCAGAUUGAACGCUGGCGGCAGGCCUAACACAUGCAAGUCGAACGGUAACAGGAAGCAGCUUGCUGCUUUGCUGACGAGUGGCGGACGGGUGAGUAAUGUCUGGGAAACUGCCUGAUGGAGGGGGAUAACUACUGGAAACGGUAGCUAAUACCGCAUAACGUCGCAAGACCAAAGAGGGGGACCUUCGGGCCUCUUGCCAUCGGAUGUGCCCAGAUGGGAUUAGCUUGUUGGUGGGGUAACGGCUCACCAAGGCGACGAUCCCUAGCUGGUCUGAGAGGAUGACCAGCCACACUGGAACUGAGACACGGUCCAGACUCCUACGGGAGGCAGCAGUGGGGAAUAUUGCACAAUGGGCGCAAGCCUGAUGCAGCCAUGCCGCGUGUAUGAAGAAGGCCUUCGGGUUGUAAAGUACUUUCAGCGGGGAGGAAGGGAGUAAAGUUAAUACCUUUGCUCAUUGACGUUACCCGCAGAAGAAGCACCGGCUAACUCCGUGCCAGCAGCCGCGGUAAUACGGAGGGUGCAAGCGUUAAUCGGAAUUACUGGGCGUAAAGCGCACGCAGGCGGUUUGUUAAGUCAGAUGUGAAAUCCCCGGGCUCAACCUGGGAACUGCAUCUGAUACUGGCAAGCUUGAGUCUCGUAGAGGGGGGU
rnacentral:rRNA from 1 species